UACGUAGGGUGCAAGCGUUAAUCGGAAUUACUGGGCGUAAGGCGUGCGCAGGCGGUUGUGCAAGACCGAUGUGAAAGCCCCGGGCUCAACUUGGGAACGGCAUUGGAAACUGGCGAGCUAGAGUGUGGCAGAGGGGGGUGGAAUUCCGCGUGUAGCAGUGAAAUGCGUAGAGAUGCGGAGGAACACCGAUGGCGAAGGCAGCCCCCUGGGCUGACACUGACGCUCAGGCACGAAAGCGUGGGGAGCAAACAGG
rnacentral:rRNA from 1 species